rnacentral:tRNA from 1 species
GAGAGUAUAGCUCAGUGGUAGAGCGCAUGCCUAGCAUGCACAAGGUCCUGGGUUCAAUCCCCAGUGCCUCCA